rnacentral:rRNA from 1 species
GUGCCAGCAGCCGCGGUAAUACGAAGGGAGCUAGCGUUGUUCGGAAUUACUGGGCGUAAAGGGCGCGUAGGCGGCCCUGUCAGUCAGGCGUGAAAGCCCCGGGCUUAACCUGGGAAAUGCGUUUGAUACUGCGGGGCUUGAGUGUGGGAGAGGUUGGUGGAAUUCCCAGUGUAGAGGUGAAAUUCGUAGAUAUUGGGAAGAACACCGGUGGCGAAGGCGGCCAACUGGACCACAACUGACGCUGAGGCGCGAAAGCGUGGGGAGCAAACAGGAUUAGAAACCCCCGUAGUCC